GAUACAGAGCAGAAGCGCAGGGUCAAGGAUCCACUCAGCUUUCAUCUUCACUAAAUGGAAAUCAGAUCUGAUUUUUGGGUUCAUCUGGACACCAAAGACCCAAAGUGAAGCGACAUCAGGACGCAGAGGCUCAGGAGUUGAUGGUUCACCACUAUUCUUCAGGUUUUAACAAUGCCAUGGUCUCCAAACUGCACUUGGUAGAUCUUGCUGGAUCCAAGAGACAGAAGAAAACCAAGGCUGAAGGAAAUCGUCUCAAAGGAAUCGGCAUCAACCUAGGCCUGCUGUCUUUGGGGAAUGCGAUCAGUGCUCUUGGAGACGAAAGCAAAAAGGAAUGUCCGAGAUGGAUGGAUCCACUGUAACAGGUGUGAGUGUUUUAGAACCGGAUAAUUCACUUCAUCAGAAGGAUAAAGGGCCUGUGAUUGGUGGUUUGCGUCUUCGAUCUGCUCCUGGAGCUUGUGUGCUCUUUGCUGGUGUGUUGCUACUUGUAGGCAUUGGAGUGGCUGUCGGUGGAUACUGGCCCCAUCGCAAUCGGAGACCAGUACCACAUCAUGCACCAUCUGGCCGAACGCCCUCAGAAAAACUGAAAUUAGUAGGCCCUAUUAUAAUGGGGGUGGGCCUUUUCAUCUUCAUUUGUGCAAACACACUUCUUUAUGAGAACCGGGACCACAGGCUGAAGCAAGCCAGCCAAAAAAAUGAUACGCUAGAAGGACGGCGAAAUUCAAAAAGCUGCUCAGAACCUCAAACAAACACCAACACGCACACACUGGCCUUGUCUGAACUCAACAUUGACUGCCUGCAAGGAGGGAUUGCUGUUCCAGCCCUUAAGUGCUCUUCUCCUUCCUCUGCCUCUUUAAACUCCAGUCAGAUGAUCUUUGACCUUGCAGAUAGCAGGGAUGCUGUCAUGCUGAUUCCUCCAGUCAUCAAACUGAACAACUGCCAUAUAAGGUGCCCAGACACUCCGCCCCUUCUACAGCAUUUACCAGUCCAUGGCGAGAGGGGCCAGUGUAAAAGGGCGGGGCCAAUAAUAACAGAGCAUUCAUCUUUAACGACAGAAAGUGGGGUGGAAAUGAGUAUUGGACAGUGUAGCCCAUUAAAGCAUACGCAGACUGUGGAUAAGUAGCCGCAAAGUCAUCCAGUGGUACCUGAUGCUAUUAUAUUUAAACUAGGAGAAAAGUUCCUAAAGCAGCCUCUUUUGGUGUCUUUGGUUUGUGCCUCUGGGGAAACCCUUAAGGGUUUGAUGUAGUACAACAAAGUGUUUCUCAAUCAGCAAUGAACUUCAUCUCAUCUCAUUAUCUGUAGCCGCUUUAUCCUGUUCUACAGGGUCGCAGGCAAGCUGGAGCCUAUCCCAGCUGACUACGGGCGAAAGGCGGGGUACACCCUGGACAAGUCGCCAGGUCAUCACAGGACUGACACAUAGACACAGACAACCAUUCACACUCACAUUCACACCUACGGUCAAUUUAGAGUCACCAGUUAACCUAACCUGCAUGUCUUUGGACUGUGGGGGAAACCGGAGCACCUGGAGGAAACCCACGCGGACACGGGGAGAACAUGCAAACUCCACACAGAAAGGCCCUCGCCGGCCACGGGGCUCGAACCCAGGACCUUCUUGCUGUGAGGCGACAGCGCUAACCACUACACCACCGUGCCGCCCCGCAAGGAACUUUAUUAUCUUAAAUAUCCAAAAUCCCCUGAAGAUUCAUUUUUAAAUAAGUUUAAAUCGUGAACAUUUCAGACCAUAAAACGUGCAAUAAAAGCUGCAGUGUUGAACCUUGGACCUGAGGGUCUCCCAAUCAGAAAGGAUUCCGAGUAGAAUCCAUUUUGGAGCUAAGAACCGUUAACUAUCCAAAGAAUCCUUUAAAACAGUUGAAUGGCUCGUUUAUCCAAGUGUGUACAUUUGUUUAAAAAAAAAACUGAUCUAGUACCUUAACUGGUUCUUUGUCCCUUUGCGAGAAGACUCUAUGUAGAGGCCGAGAACAAAAAUACUUUUUUUAAGUAAGAGUUUAAUGUUAAUGUUGAAUGCAACGUUAAGGUUUAUUAAUGUUAAUGUCACAUUUAACAGUUAUUCCACGAAAUCGAGUCGUACAUGAGCUGAUAGCUAUAAGCCAUGUACGACGAGAUUGAGUCUGUUUUAUUCUAUCCACAUUCACUGGAUUUUGAGAAACAGAGCAUUUUUAUUUUUAUUUUUUGCAAAUUCCAUAAAUAAAAACUUUAUACAAAACGUCUGACAAAAUCAUUUCCACUUAGAAUGUAACCAAACCUGCAAAAUGACAGUAGCAAUUUGUGAAAAAUGCAAUAAUAAUAAUUCUUGAAAAAUAAAAAAAGAGACGUUCUUACCAUCAAAUACUUUUAUUCCAUAUUUUGUUGCUUUUUUAAAAAUAAUUGUUGGGGUUUUGUUUUUAAGUAGAGUUUUUAUUUCAUCCCCGGUUGGUUCAGCAACACGCUCCGCCAUUUUGUUUUUCUCUACUCAUGGUAUAUGAGCUGAUAUCUUAAUAGUAGGGUAGCCAAUCAGAGCACGCGGCUGCUCAUAUCCAGUGAACGUGGAUAGAAUUACAAUGUCAAACUAUCAGGCAACAUGAAGGCUGACAUUUUUCCUGAUUAUUUGCAGGAUUUGACCCUUGGAACUAAAGAGAUCUAAAUAAAACUUGUUCGGUGUCACUAUCUAUGUUCCUGUUACAGAUUUACUGUAUAACAGAUUGGGCUUUGUAAAAUAAAGUGGGUUUCAGUGUAUUCAUUUUAACUAGCCUAGCAUCCUUUCAAAACACAAGAUGCCUCCAUAUCAUAGAGUAUAACAUGCCAAUUUGAGGCAAACAUCUGAUCAUUUCAGUUCUUUAUAUUGUUUCUUU